GACAGAGGUGCCAAGCGUUAGGCGGAAUCACUGGGCUUAAAGCGUGUGUAGGCGGAUUCCUAAGUACCUUGUGAAAUCCCACGGCUCAACCGUGGAACUGCUCGGUAUACUGGGUAUCUUGAGCCACUUAGGGGCGACCGGAACAAAUGGUGGAGCGGUGAAAUGCGCGGAUAUCAGGAAGAACACCCGUGGCUAAGGCGGCUCUCUAGUACGGUACUGACGCUGAGACGCGAAAGCGUGGGGAGCGAACAGG
rnacentral:rRNA from 1 species